rnacentral:lncRNA from 1 species
UGGAAUUAAUCUUGCUGUUUUCCAUUUGAUUGUGAAUUUUCUUCCAUGCUUGGUCAUUUGUUGAUUUUUUGUGCUAUGCCUUGCCAAAUCCUUUGUGAAAUUCUCAUAACAUGUUGUAUGACCAUGAAAUUUCAUAUGUGAUAAUUAGACUCUUUGAGCUUUGCAUUGGUGUUAAUCUCAUUCAUUUCUCUUCUGUUUUCAAUUUGAUAUGGAUUUUUAAAGUUGACCCAUGCUUGUUGACUUUCACCAUGCUUACUUGAACUUGGUUUGACUUCAUGAUUUUACUUGCCUGCCUUCCUCUCAUCCAAAUGCCAUGAAAUUUUACAUGUAUACCAUGUUAGAUGUUAGGAUUGAGUGUGAUUUAUUUCAUGAUUUUU